rnacentral:rRNA from 1 species
UACGUAGGGACCAAGCGUUGUUCGGAUUUACUGGGCGUAAAGGGCGCGUAGGCGGCUUAACAAGUCACUUGUGAAAUCUCCGGGCUUAACUCGGAACGGCCAAGUGAAACUGUCAAGCUAGAGUGCAGAAGGGGGCAAUCGGAAUUCUUGGUGUAGCGGUGAAAUGCGUAGAUAUCAAGAGGAACACCUGAGGUGAAGACGGGUUGCUGGGCUGACACUGACGCUGAGGCGCGAAAGCCAGGGGAGCAAACGGG